rnacentral:rRNA from 1 species
GUGGGGAAUAUUGGACAAUGGGCGAAAGCCUGAUCCAGCCAUGCCGCGUGUGUGAAGAAGGUCUUCGGAUUGUAAAGCACUUUAAGUUGGGAGGAAGGGCAGUAAGUUAAUACCUUGCUGUUUUGACGUUACCGACAGAAUAAGCACCGGCUAACUUCGUGCCAGCAGCCGCGGUAAUACGAAGGGUGCAAGCGUUAAUCGGAAUUACUGGGCGUAAAGCGCGCGUAGGUGGUUUUGUAAGUUGGAGGUGAAAUCCCCGGGCUCAACCUGGGAACUGCCUCCAAAACUGCAUGACUAGAGUACGGUAGAGGGUAGUGGAAUUUCCUGUGUAGCAGUGAAAUGCGUAGAUAUAGGAAGGAACACCAGUGGCGAAGGCGACUACCUGGACUGAUACUGACACUGAGGUGCGAAAGCGUGGGGAGCAAACAGGAUUAGAAACCCUUGUAGUCC